UGCGCAUGCGGGAGGGCGGAGCUUUAACGCACUCUGUACAUGCCCAGCGGCAGCGGUCUUGUUUAUUUAUUUAUUAUUCAAUUUUGAAACUGAGACCUAAGCAGUGAAAAUGAAGACGUGGGGAAAAGCAGCUUUACAGACAGGCAUGUAUGCAGAUGGUGCUCACUUCAGUCCUCAGCAAGGUAGAGCAGGGAAAGGUUUCUUUUUAUCUGAGACCCUGGAGAGCUGCUGCCAGUUAGUGUAGAAUGGAUAGACCAAUCGCUUCUUGGCCUUUUGGCCAAGAUCAAGUGUAGAAUGGAUAGACCAGUGGCCUGACUUGUCAGCUUCCUAUUUCUUUGGUUGUUAUCAUGAGGACUAGAAACAUUUUUAAGGGAAAAGUUAUAGUUCAGUGGUGGAGCAUGCUUUGCAUGGUACCCAUUUGAAAUCUGAAUGAACACCAAUGCCCUCCUCACAAAUACAGCUGUGUCAUAAUAUGAAUCCUCUGUCUGUUUUCAGGGAUAAGGUACAGCUCUUGAACAUCAGAAGUGAAAACUCUUUCUGCAUAUAUGGUGAGCCCAAACUGCCGACUACUACACUUUUGGGCACAUCCCACCAUCUCACAGCACCUAGAGAAAAUAAGCUGAGACUGAUGCCUCUUAAGGGGAAGACAGGGCUGGGUCCACUGUGGCACUCCGCAAUGUUACUGAACUACAACACUCACGGGCCAUGGAUGAUGGGCAUUAUAGUUCUGCAAAAUCUGGAGGGCCAAAGGUUCCCUACACCUGGGCUAGGCCAAGGCAGCCCUCCUACCCCCAAGGAUGUCUUAGCUGUGACUGGUUACCCUGCAGAGCCAGCCAAGAACUGUUCAUUUAUGUGAGGCUUGAUCCUAUGCUAUGCAACUCCUCCUUUGUUCAAUGGGCCUUACUUCAAAGUAAGCAUGCAGAGAUUGUAGCUUUCAAUUGGCUGCUACCUUGGCAGCUCUUUCAGUCAAAUGGGGUGGGC